rnacentral:lncRNA from 1 species
AUGCUUUUGCUGAGGCGUUCCCUGCUGGGUUGGUGGCACUUCUGGCAGGCUCCUGGAUUCAGAAUACCCACUCCACUCCUGGUAAAGAAAAGAUGUCCAUGGGUCCCCACUGCUCAUCCUUGGUACACACCGGAACCAUCCUCGGGGCAGAUCUUCAUCGGGUGUCAGAGAAAUGGCAAAGCCGUUUCAUUCAGCUGUGCAAGCUACAUGUCUGCAUUCUGCUCUGCCUCAGCUGAACUCUGCUGCAGAUGAAGGAGGAAGAUGUCCUGAUGAGAAGGAACAAAGAGGGAUGACAGCAGUUUAAUUUCUAAUUAAUUAAUCCAUCAUGAUUAACACCUGACAUUGAAGCAGUUGUGUUUAGUCUCUGCUGAGUGUCUGAUCCAAAGAUAGCUGCAGUGAGUGUUGCAAGGGAGAAUGAGCCAAACUGGGUGCUCCAGUGGAGAUCAUGUCCCAGUGUUUUGGCAGUGGGGACUCCUCUGGAUGUGCAGGGUGGCACCUUCCCUUACCCUUCUCUAUGCUGGUUUCUGCCCAGCUCCAGAGCAGGAAAGCAGGGAGAUAGGCUAAAGGGAAAUCUGGUCGGGACAAAAAAUUAAAAGGAGGCUUCUCUUUGCAUCUUGCUACUUGUAAAAUAUACAAGUGUGAGCUGAAAGCAGGUGCAGCAUUACUGGACUCGAGGAAAUGCAAAAUUUAAAUCAAGUUAUUCCUUUGCACUGUACAGUUUGUCUUGGCUGUACUCACAGUGAAGCGGAUCAGGAAUUUUUCCAAUGCAUUCUAGCUUCCAUAACACUGUAAGGUAUAUCAGCUGCAGUUUAGAUUUGGAAAAACAAAUGACUGACAAAGUAUUAUCAUGAGUUUACUUCUUCCCAUAAACCCAAGUGGCAUAGUUAGCAGCAUGCAUAUUUGCCUCAGGAUGCCAUUUGGACUUUGACAUGCCUCCUGGCUGGCUCUCACCCACAGCACACUGGGGUUUACAUUUGCUUUCCUGAAUCUUAGAUUUCUGCAGACACCCCAGAAAUGUUCUGAUUCAUUGUCCCUGUGGCCCUUACUGGUUGGUGAGCAGCCAACAUCAGACACUUGUGGUAGAAUAUGGUGUUUACUUUGAUGAAUUAAUAAAUUAUAUAGCUGACCUAAUAUCUUCGAAUAUAAAAGUAGAAUUUCAGCUUGAACAUAAAAUGUAAAUCAAUGGUUGAAAAAAUAUUCCAAAAUAGCAGCACAGAAACCAGAGGAAUUGAAUUAAUGUAUAAUUCAAACAGUUUAGCUAGGAGCAACAAUUCUAUUUUAAUACUGUGAAUGUUUCUAAAUCAAAACCAUGUUCUGAUGCUUGAUUUCUUUUUCUUUGAGCCCAUUUUUUUUGUUGUUGUUGAAGAUAUGAAUGGUAAUUAAAAACAAUAGUGAAUUAUGAAGCUAUUAAAAGCUGAGAUUAAAAAUUAAAAAAUGGAAGUCCUAUGAUUUAUGUUACUGAGCUCCUAAGGCACAU